rnacentral:rRNA from 1 species
CCUACGGGAGGCAGUAGUGAGGAAUAUUGGUCAAUGGACGAGAGUCUGAACCAGCCAAGUAGCGUGAAGGAUGACUGCCCUAUGGGUUGUAAACUUCUUUUAUAUGGGAAUAAAACGUUCCACGUGUGGGAUUUUGUAUGUACCAUAUGAAUAAGGAUCGGCUAACUCCGUGCCAGCAGCCGCGGUAAUACGGAGGAUCCGAGCGUUAUCCGGAUUUAUUGGGUUUAAAGGGAGCGUAGGUGGAUUGUUAAGUCAGUUGUGAAAGUUUGCGGCUCAACCGUAAAAUUGCAGUUGAAACUGGCAGUCUUGAGUACAGUAGAGGUGGGCGGAAUUCGUGGUGUAGCGGUGAAAUGCUUAGAUAUCACGAAGAACUCCGAUUGCGAAGGCAGUUCACUGGACUGCAACUGACACUGAGGCUCGAAAGUGUGGGUAUCAAACAGGAUUAGAUACCCGUGUAGUC